CCCAGACUCCUACGGGAGGCAGCAGUGGGGGAUAUUGCACAAUGGGGGAAACCCUGAUGCAGCGACGCCGCGUGGGUGAAGAAGCGCCUCGGCGCGUAAAGCCCUUUCAGCAGGGAAGAAAAUGACGGUACCUGAAGAAGAAGCCCCGGCUAACUACGUGCCAGCAGCCGCGGUAAUACGUAUGGUGCAAGCGUUAUCCGGAUUUACUGGGUGUAAAGGGAGCGCAGGCGGCACGGCAAGCCUGAUGUGAAAGCCCGCGGCCCAACCGCGGGACUGCAUUGGGAACUACCGGGCUGGAGUGCCGGAGAGGUAGGCGGAAUUCCUAGUGUAGCGGUGAAAUGCGUAGAUAUUAGGAGGAACACCAGUGGCGAAGGCGGCUUACUGGACUGUAACUGACGUUGAGGCUCGAAAGCGUGGGGAGCAAACAGGAUUAGAUACCCGCGUAGG
rnacentral:rRNA from 1 species